UCGGGAAUUUUGGGCAAUGGGGGAAACCCUGACCCAGCAACGCCGCGUGAAGGAUGAAGUAUUUCGGUAUGUAAACUUCGAAAGAAUAGGAAGAAUAAAUGACGGUACUAUUUAUAAGGUCCGGCUAACUACGUGCCAGCAGCCGCGGUAAUACGUAGGGACCAAGCGUUGUUCGGAUUUACUGGGCGUAAAGGGCGCGUAGGCGGCAAUUCAAGUCAUCUGUGAAAUCUCCGGGCUUAACUCGGAACGGUCAGAUGAUACUGCUUUGCUAGAGUGCAGAAGGGGCAAUCGGAAUUCUUGGUGUAGCGGUGAAAUGCGUAGAUAUCAAGAGGAACACCUGAGGUGAAGACGGGUUGCUGGGCUGACACUGACGCUGAGGCGCGAAAGCCAGGGGGAGCAAACGGGGAUUAGAUACCCUCGUAGUCCCUGAGCGGGC
rnacentral:rRNA from 1 species